rnacentral:rRNA from 1 species
CGGCCAGACUCCUACGGGAGGCAGCAGUGGGGAAUAUUGCACAAUGGGGGAAACCCUGAUGCAGCGACGCCGCGUGAGUGAAGAAGUAUUUCGGUACGUAAAGCUCUAUCAGCAGGGAAGAAAAAAAGUCCUUUGGACUUUGGACGGUACCUGACCAAGAAGCCCCGGCUAACUACGUGCCAGCAGCCGCGGUAAUACGUAGGGGGCAAGCGUUAUCCGGAUUUAUUGGGUUUAAAGGGUGCGUAGGCGGACAGUCAAGUCAGCGGUAAAAAUGCGGUGCUCAACGCCGUACGGCCGUUGAAACUGGCAGUCUUGAGUGGGCGAGAAGUAUGCGGAAUGCGUGGUGUAGCGGUGAAAUGCAUAGAUAUCACGCAGAACUCCGAUUGCGAAGGCAGCAUACCGGCGCCCGACUGACGCUGAGGCACGAAAGCGUGGGUAUCGAACAGGAUUAGAUACCCGUGUAA